rnacentral:rRNA from 1 species
AUUGAACGCUGGCGGCAGGCUUAACACAUGCAAGUCGAACGAUGACUCUCUAGCUUGCUAGAGUUGAUUAGUGGCGGACGGGUGAGUAACAUUUAGGAAUCUGCCUAGUAGUGGGGGAUAGCUCGGGGAAACUCGAAUUAAUACCGCAUACGACCUACGGGUGAAAGGGGGCGCAAGCUCUUGCUAUUAGAUGAGCCUAAAUCAGAUUAGCUAGUUGGUGGGGUAAAGGCCCACCAAGGCGACGAUCUGUAACUGGUCUGAGAGGAUGAUCAGUCACACCGGAACUGAGACACGGUCCGGACCCCUACGGGAGGCAGCAGUGGGGAAUAUUGGACAAUGGGGGCAACCCUGAUCCAGCCAUGCCGCGUGUGUGAAGAAGGCCUUUUGGUUGUAAAGCACUUUAAGCAGGGAGGAGAGGCUAAUGGUUAAUACCCAUUAGAUUAGACGUUACCUGCAGAAUAAGCACCGGCUAACUCUGUGCCAGCAGCCGCGGUAAUACAGAGGGUGCGAGCGUUAAUCGGAAUUACUGGGCGUAAAGCGAGUGUAGGUGGCUCAUUAAGUCACAUGUGAAAUCCCCGGGCUUAACCUGGGAACUGCAUGUGAUACUGGUGGUGCUAGAAUAUGUGAGAGGGAAGUAGAAUUCCAGGUGUAGCGGUGAAAUGCGUAGAGAUCUGGAGGAAUACCGAUGGCGAAGGCAGCUUCCUGGCAUAAUAUUGACACUGAGAUUCGAAAGCGUGGGUAGCAAACAGGAUUAGAUACCCUGGUAGUCCACGCCGUAAACGAUGUCUACUAGCCGUUGGGGUCCUUGAGACUUUAGUGGCGCAGUUAACGCGAUAAGUAGACCGCCUGGGGAGUACGGCCGCAAGGUUAAAACUCAAAUGAAUUGACGGGGGCCCGCACAAGCGGUGGAGCAUGUGGUUUAAUUCGAUGCAACGCGAAGAACCUUACCUGGUCUUGACAUAGUGAGAAUCUCUCAGAGAUGAGAGAGUGCCUUCGGGAACUCACAUACAGGUGCUGCAUGGCUGUCGUCAGCUCGUGUCGUGAGAUGUUGGGUUAAGUCCCGCAACGAGCGCAACCCUUUUCCUUAUUUGCCAGCGGGUUAAGCCGGGAACUUUAAGGAUACUGCCAGUGACAAACUGGAGGAAGGCGGGGACGACGUCAAGUCAUCAUGGCCCUUACGACCAGGGCUACACACGUGCUACAAUGGUAGGUACAGAGGGUUGCUACACAGCGAUGUGAUGCUAAUCUCAAAAAGCCUAUCGUAGUCCGGAUUGGAGUCUGCAACUCGACUCCAUGAAGUCGGAAUCGCUAGUAAUCGCGGAUCAGAAUGCCGCGGUGAAUACGUUCCCGGGCCU